CCGGGUUUCCCCAACCACAGGUGCUUAAAAAAAAACACACCAAACACGCAAAUCAGACUCACAUUUAUUCAGCCCACUCAUCAGCUGAGCAGGUGCUUCUGCUGUCCCCAAGUAAUCACAGGAUGGAUCACAAUGAACUCACACACCUAUACAUCUGUAUUGUUUUUAAAAUUCACGGUCUUGGAAAUCGUAGACGUUGUGUUGUAUGGGGCGUCUGGGUCAAUAAAAUAUUUUGAAAGUUAAAAA